AGCUUGUGACCUCUCCUAAAGGAUCUAAAGCACUAAUGGUGUAAUAGCUCAAUUAUUUUUCAGGUAACUUGUGCAACCAGCUGGGAGCUAUGGUUGGGAAAGACAUUUUUCCUAGAACAAAAAGGGAACCGAACAACAGGCAUCUGUAUACAGAUCCAAAGUUCAUGGGCUGGAAAGCUAAGGAUAGACUAAAACAAGCUGUACAUUAGUGGAUGAGAAGAUUUUUCUACCUUUACAUUCUUUCCUGUGGGGAUGAACUCUGGGUUUUGACUCAAAGUUGCCUUCCUCACUCUCCAGAGCAUCAGCCCACAUCUUGUAUCCUGGUUCUCACUUACCCCUGCAGAAAUAGAAGCUAGUUAUCUGCUUUUUGGGAGAUAUUCUAAAAUAUUCUUUCCUGUCCAGCUAAUCAUAAUCUUACUUUUAGGUUUUAUGCACUAAUUCACUUAAAUAACAGUUUUUUCUCUCUUUUUUUCCUGCAGAUCUGGUGGGUACAGGUGUUUGUAGUACCUGGCUCCUUGGAGUCACAGUGGUGAGAAUGGGAUGGACGAUUUUGCAGCUGUUCCUUGUUAUGGGGCUCAGAUACUACCAUUAGUUUGACCAACCUUGGCUAUUAUGGAGGAAAGCAGAGGGGAGUUUUUUAACCCCCUGGUGUGAGAACAUUUUCUCCACAUGAUCAAAAUAUGGCCUCCAUACACCUCAAUGCAUUUCUCACAAUUGAAUAAUAGAGACCUUUCUGCUAGCUGAUAAUCUUGCAAUAAACUUGGGUAAUGCUAUAUAAAAAGUACUCUUUGGUAGCUAGUCUAAAAGAGUAGUACUGAGGCUUCACCUUGCAGCUAGUGGAAAAAAAAAUGGUGAGUUGGUCAUAAGAAAAGGAAUGGGGAUUUAACAGAAAAGAGCAGGAAUUGAAAAUGCACACUAUGAUUUUUGAAGAAGUGAUUUCUAAAGGGCAGCAAGAUGACCCUAGUGCUUGAGGGAUAAAAGGGAUUACAGAAAAGAAAACCUCCAAUAUAUUACAGAACAUUCUUCAAAAGCCAAGCAUCUUGAAAGUAAGUGUGCAUUUCAGGUAAUUCAUAGAUUGUUAGGUUUUAAGCAUAAAUGUUAGAAUUAAUAUAAUCUAUUACUACUACUGAAUUAUAUGCUGUUAUAACUUUUAAUUUCUUGUAUUUUAUCUCUGGUCUCAUUUCUUAUUACUUGAACGUUAUAAGGAUACUGUGCAAAGUCAUAAUUCUACAAUGCAUGUCUUCACAUAGAAGUGCUUACAUUGUUUUCUUAUGAUUUUACCAUGUGUUCUACUGUUGUUAGAAAGCACUACUAACAUGAUUCUGCUGGUUCCUUUGCCUUGUCAUCUUGGAGAAAGAAAUUUGCAGGCAACUCCUUUGCUAUUGCUCUGUCACCCACACUGUAACUCCAGCUGCCAUGCUUUGCUGCAGAAGUUUUUGCAUUUCAAAGAGCGUAGCUUCAUUCACCUGUACUUCUUCCAAUUUCAGAACAUUCUGGGCAUCACCCCACAAGCUGCAGGCACUAGCAAAUCCCAGAUUCCUAACUUCUCUCCUACAGCCUCUUCUGCUGGCUGUUUUUCUGUUGCAUGAAUAAAGCUGUGCUUUGGGCACCUGUUAUGCAGCCUGCUGAGGAAAACUUAGUAACUGGUCAGGUGGACAAAACUGCUUAAUUAUGACUUUCCAAGACUUAUAAAACAGAACUGAGAUGGUAUUUACUGAAGAGAUUCACCAAUGGCAAAAAAAAAAAAAGUCUCAGAUGGAAAUUAGCUUGAGAAUAAUUAAACUGAUUUAAAACCACCACUUUAUUUUCCACAUACCUUCA